CAGGCUUAACACAUGCAAGUCGAGGGUCAGCAUUUCAGUUUGCUUGCAAACUGGAGAUGGCGACCGGCGCACGGGUGAGUAACACGUAUCCAACCUGCCGAUAACUCGGGGAUAGCCUUUCGAAAGAAAGAUUAAUACCCGAUGGUAUAAUCAGACCGCAUGGUCUUGUUAUUAAAGAAUUUCGGUUAUCGAUGGGGAUGCGUUCCAUUAGGCAGUUGGUGAGGUAACGGCUCACCAAACCUUCGAUGGAUAGGGGUUCUGAGAGGAAGGUCCCCCACAUUGGAACUGAGACACGGUCCAAACUCCUACGGGAGGCAGCAGUGAGGAAUAUUGGUCAAUGGGCGCAGGCCUGAACCAGCCAAGUAGCGUGAAGGAUGACUGCCCUAUGGGUUGUAAACUUCUUUUAUAUGGGAAUAAAGUUUUCCACGUGUGGAAUUUUGUAUGUACCAUAUGAAUAAGGAUCGGCUAACUCCGUGCCAGCAGCCGCGGUAAUACGGAGGAUCCGAGCGUUAUCCGGAUUUAUUGGGUUUAAAGGGAGCGUAGGUGGACAGUUAAGUCAGUUGUGAAAGUUUGCGGCUCAACCGUAAAAUUGCAGUUGAUACUGGCUGUCUUGAGUACAGUAGAGGUGGGCGGAAUUCGUGGUGUAGCGGUGAAAUGCUUAGAUAUCACGAAGAACUCCGAUUGCGAAGGCAGCUCACUGGACUGCAACUGACACUGAUGCUCGAAAGUGUGGGUAUCAAACAGGAUUAGAUACCCUGGUAGUCCACACAGUAAACGAUGAAUACUCGCUGUUUGCGAUAUACAGUAAGCGGCCAAGCGAAAGCAUUAAGUAUUCCACCUGGGGAGUACGCCGGCAACGGUGAAGCUCAAAGGAAUUGACGGGGGCCCGCACAAGCGGAGGAACAUGUGGUUUAAUUCGAUGAUACGCGAGGAACCUUACCCGGGCUUAAAUUGCAUUUGAAUAUAUUGGAAACAGUAUAGCCGUAAGGCAAAUGUGAAGGUGCUGCAUGGUUGUCGUCAGCUCGUGCCGUGAGGUGUCGGCUUAAGUGCCAUAACGAGCGCAACCCUUAUCUUUAGUUACUAACAGGUCAUGCUGAGGACUCUAGAGAGACUGCCGUCGUAAGAUGUGAGGAAGGUGGGGAUGACGUCAAAUCAGCACGGCCCUUACGUCCGGGGCUACACACGUGCUACAAUGGGGGGUACAGAAGGCAGCUACCUGGUGACAGGAUGCUAAUCCCAAAAGCCUCUCUCAGUUCGGAUCGAAGUCUGCAACCCGACUUCGUGAAGCUGGAUUCGCUAGUAAUCGCGCAUCAGCCAUGGCGCGGUGAAUACGUUCCCGGGCCUUGUACACACCGCCCGUCAAGCCAUGAAAGCCGGGGGUACCUGAAGUACGUAACCGCAAGGAGCGUCCUAGGGUAAAACUGGUAA
rnacentral:rRNA from 1 species